GUGCCAGCCGCCGCGGUAAUACGUAGGGUGCGAGCGCUAUCCGGAAUCAUUGGGCGUAAAGAGCUCGUAGGCGGUUCAGCAAGUCGGCUGUGAAAGUCCGAGGCUCAACCUCGGAACUGCAGUCGAUACUGCUGUGACUCGAGUCCGGUAGAGGAGAAUGGAAUUCCCGGUGUAGCGGUGAAAUGCGCAGAUAUCGGGAGGAACACCAGUAGCGAAGGCGGUUCUCUGGGCCGGUACUGACGCUGAGGAGCGAAAGCAUGGGUAGCAAACAGGAUUAGAUACCCUGGUAGUCCAUGCCGUAAACGUUGGACACUAGGUGUGGCGUUCCGAUCAACGGGUGCCGUGCCGAGGCUAACGCAUUAAGUGUCCCGCCUGGGGAGUACGGCCGCAAGGCUAAAACUCAAAGGAAUUGACGGGUCCCCGCACAAGCGGCGGAGCAUGCGGCUUAAUUCGAUGCAACCCGAAGAACCUUACCUGGGUUUGACAUCACGGGAAAAGCUGUAGAAAUACAGUGUCCGUAAGGGCCCGUGACAGGUGGUGCAUGGCUGUCGUCAGCUCGUGUCGUGAGAUGUUGGGUUAAGUCCCGCAACGAGCGCAACCCUUAUCCUACGUUGCCAGCGGUUCGGCCGGGGACUCAUAGGAGACUGCCGAGGAUAACUCGGAGGAAGGUGAGGACGACGUCAAGUCAUCAUGCCCCUUAUAUCCAGGGCUGCACGCAUGCUACAAUGGUCGGUACAACGGGCAGCAACCCCGCGAGGGUGAGCGAAUCCCAUAAAGCCGGCCUCAGUUCGGAUUGGAGUCUGCAACUCGACUCCAUGAAGUCGGAGUCGCUAGUAAUCGCGGAUCAGCAAAGCCGCGGUGAAUGCGUUCUCGGGGAUUGCACACACCGCCCGUC
rnacentral:rRNA from 1 species